AAACUUGCAGAUGCAUCAAACAUUUUAAAUGCCCAACAGCUGUUUGAGCCAGAUAAACCCUUGUUUCCAUUUCUAGGUUAAAAAUAAACUCAGAAUGAAUCUUGUCUUAAUGAAGCCUCUCAUCCAAAUUAUUUUUAAUGUUUCUUCCUUCUUAUUACUUUUUAGGGGAAUAUUCUUAGAAGUCAGAAUAUUUAAGGUAUUUUGUUCUCACAAAACUAAAAAUAAUGAAAAUAUUUUGUAGGCAUUAAAUUAUUAUUCACAUUCACUGCAUUCAAAUUCAUCAAGUGCUUAAAAUAGCUACUGGAAAAGAAAUGAUUCAGCCAUAGUUAUUCUGGAAUAACUCCCCUUGUAUACAUACUAUCUCAGCAUAAAGGGCAGUUUAUCCCAGAAUAAUUAGUGCAUUUCAAAGCACUGAAGAUUUUUUUUUUUUUUUUGCAAUAGCUAUAUCCCUUUUCCCAUAUCUCUGUAUGAAGUUCACAACACUACUCCAGGCAGUCCAUCACAUGGGUGCAGAAGCUCCACAGUGCCAGCAAAAAGAGCCUCUCUGAGACCAGGAAACUUGUACCAAUGGCCAUUCCACUAACAAGAGACCAGGAAAGAGAGGGGCAAGCUAGAGUGUGUAAACCAGAACUCGUACACCAAUUGCCAAACAUCAGACGGACAAGCCAACUCACCAACACUUUCUCCAAGCCAGUUCCUCAAUGGCCAGUCAAUCCCCUUCAGGAUUUCAUUACUUGA
rnacentral:lncRNA from 1 species